GUCUGGGCAGUUAAGGAUCUGUGAUGACACUAUCUUUUCCCACUCUCCUGACAAACACCCAGGCCUGGCUAAAAUCAGGGCGGGGUCUGUUACAGGGGGCCCAAAGCUAGCCCUUUCUUUCCUGAAUAGGUUUGAAAAAACUAAUUUGUGAAAUGGAACAGAAUUAAGUCUGGGGUAAUUGAGUAGUUCCAUUUUGUUCAUUGAAAAAAGUAUGUAUCCGAGCCUUCAAAAGAUUGAUAUAAAUUAUCAAAUAUACAAAGUAACAGGAUUUCAGAGGUAGGACUAUUAAAAAGGAAUAACUUAGGGUCAAGAGUAAAAACCUUAAAAAAUGAGGGAUAAAGGCAUUCACCUGAGGUCCUAGCUGACCCAUCUGCAGCUUUCAAGCCACAGCCCCUGCGAGUGCAUGGUAGCUGGUGAGCAGAUGUUGGGCACAGAGCUUAGAGACCAGCUCGAAAAGAGCCCAACGGCAUGUCCUGACGCUGGGAAAGCCACAAACUGCUCUAGCGAUGGCGAGGAGCUGCCUCACCACAGUCCUUUCUCACUUCAGAUGAAAGUAUUAGAAAAGGGGCCAUGGUUUAAAAUGUUAGCUCUAUGGCCACUCUGUGUUUCAGUCAACCCAAGAAACUUGAUGGUCUUGCUAUUUCACAUAAAAAUAUUUAUUUAGGGAGCUCCCCUCAUGGCACAGCAGAAACGAAUCCGACUAAGAACCAUGAGGUUGUGUGUUCAAUCCCUGGCCUUGCUCAGUGGGUUAAAGAUCUGGCACUGCUGUGAGCCAUGGUGUAGGUCAUAGUCGCGGCUCAGAUCUGGUGUUGCUAUGGCUCUGGCGUAGGCCAGCAGCUGUAGCUCCCAUUAGACCUCUAGCCUGGGAACCUCCAUAUGCCGUGGGUGCGGCCCUCAAAUGACAAGAGACAGAAAAUAAAAUUUAUUUAAUAUCUUCCCCCAAGUGCAAGCCCUGUGAUGCCACCAUCACAUGGCUUCCCUCUGUCCAGGAGAGGUUGUCAGUUUAAUAAGGGGAGACAGACAAGUGAACAAGUUAACACAGUAAUGUGCCCAGGAAAGCAUUAGAGAGUGGGUUUAGGUCACUGUGGGGCCACUACACAAAACUCAGAUAAUCCACCAGGGUGGCUUAAAGAAUCAAGAAAGGGUUCAAAAGGAGAUAGCUCUAAAAUGAAGACUUGAAAAAUGAUGGAGCCGGGCUCGGGUGGAAGUAGGGGUGUGGGUGAAGGGGUACCAUAGGGCAAGGUCUGCUCUCCAGGAGGGUAUUUGGGGGACUUCCAACAGUCACCAGGAACAGAGAACUGAAAGUGUGGAGCUAGGGUAGGUAGGUGUCUGGGUGGGUAGAUGACCCUGAUAUUUAAGGCUUCCAAGUGCCAGAAUGGGGGUUCUGGCCUCCAGCCUGUGGGUGACGGCAGUCCUUUAAAAGGAUAAGAAAGGUGAGAAAGCUCAGGAAUGAAGCAAUUUUGUCACUUUUUAAUUCAUGUUAUCCACUGGCCCUCAGACUCUCUUAAAAUAAGAAUUUGAGGUAAUACUGCAGGUAUUCACGCUGAGCACCAAAAGCUUUUAAUACCUGUUACUCAUUUCUGCUCACUUGCUCCUGUCCUAUCUUAUCUAUUUGACACCUUUAUGCUUUUAAUUGCUUGAGAUACUAGAUUAGCUCAGAAACUUGUCCCUUCCUACACGACGGUAUGUUCCCCCUGCACCUCGCUUCAGGGUCAUGAAACAUUAGAAAUUUAUCUCCUUUCUUUUGUGCCAACACCCAACUACACAACUUAAGGACUACUAAGCUAAAACCUUAUUUUAAAACCACAUUUAACCAAAUACGAGUCCAGCUUGUCCCAUGCUGUAUCCAAAGCCAUGCACCAGGCCUUACCCCUAGAUGCACCUGCAUCAGGAUUACCUGGCCCCAGCCUAGACCAUCCUGAAUGCAGAUGAACAGGAAAGAGCGCCUGGGACUCUGCAUCACCACAGCAAUGCCCCUAGGCGGUCUUUAACCUCACCGAAGUGUACAACCAACGGAUAGAGAUUGAGGCACACUCUAUAAAAACACAGCCUCCUGAGUAUUUUGAAGGUGACAGGCUCCAAAUGAAGUAGAAAUGAUUUGGGUAUUUUAGGGAAAUAGAUGUUUAUAGUCUCCCCAAACAUGAAGUUUCCUAAGCUGAAAAUGUGUUACAGUAACUGCUGUAAAAGCCUGUGUUGUUUUGCCAAAUUAAAAGAUCCUCUGGAGUCUCCCUUCUCCUCCCUCAGGACCCUCACUUCUGAUGGUGAGGUUACUCACUUCACACCUCUUCUUUACCAACGUCAGUUUCUUUUGCCAAAAGCCUUCCUUGAAAGCCUCCAGAAAAUGUGCGAGUCCCUCCUCUCUCAGGGCAAAAGCCACCUAUUCAGGAGACUGUCAUUAACAGUUAACUCAAUCAUGUACUCUUGGCUUAGCGGGACAGUAAAAAAGUACUGGCCUCUUGGAUGGGCAUUAAGGGGUGUUCAG
rnacentral:lncRNA from 1 species